AGUCGAACGGUAGCACAGAGAGCUUGCUCUCGGGUGACGAGUGGCGGACGGGUGAGUAAUGUCUGGGAAACUGCCUGAUGGAGGGGGAUAACUACUGGAAACGGUAGCUAAUACCGCAUAACGUCGCAAGACCAAAGAGGGGGACCUUCGGGCCUCUUGCCAUCAGAUGUGCCCAGAUGGGAUUAGCUAGUAGGUGGGGUAACGGCUCACCUAGGCGACGAUCCCUAGCUGGUCUGAGAGGAUGACCAGCCACACUGGAACUGAGACACGGUCCAGACUCCUACGGGAGGCAGCAGUGGGGAAUAUUGCACAAUGGGCGCAAGCCUGAUGCAGCCAUGCCGCGUGUAUGAAGAAGGCCUUCGGGUUGUAAAGUACUUUCAGCGGGGAGGAAGGUGUUGCGGUUAAUAACCGCAGCAAUUGACGUUACCCGCAGAAGAAGCACCGGCUAACUCCGUGCCAGCAGCCGCGGUAAUACGGAGGGUGCAAGCGUUAAUCGGAAUUACUGGGCGUAAAGCGCACGCAGGCGGUCUGUCAAGUCGGAUGUGAAAUCCCCGGGCUCAACCUGGGAACUGCAUUCGAAACUGGCAGGCUAGAGUCUUGUAGAGGGGGGUAGAAUUCCAGGUGUAGCGGUGAAAUGCGUAGAGAUCUGGAGGAAUACCGGUGGCGAAGGCGGCCCCCUGGACAAAGACUGACGCUCAGGUGCGAAAGCGUGGGGAGCAAACAGGAUUAGAUACCCUGGUAGUCCACGCCGUAAACGAUGUCGACUUGGAGGUUGUGCCCUUGAGGCGUGGCUUCCGGAGCUAACGCGUUAAGUCGACCGCCUGGGGAGUACGGCCGCAAGGUUAAAACUCAAAUGAAUUGACGGGGGCCCGCACAAGCGGUGGAGCAUGUGGUUUAAUUCGAUGCAACGCGAAGAACCUUACCUACUCUUGACAUCCAGAGAACUUUCCAGAGAUGGAUUGGUGCCUUCGGGAACUCUGAGACAGGUGCUGCAUGGCUGUCGUCAGCUCGUGUUGUGAAAUGUUGGGUUAAGUCCCGCAACGAGCGCAACCCUUAUCCUUUGUUGCCAGCGGUCCGGCCGGGAACUCAAAGGAGACUGCCAGUGAUAAACUGGAGGAAGGUGGGGAUGACGUCAAGUCAUCAUGGCCCUUACGAGUAGGGCUACACACGUGCUACAAUGGCGCAUACAAAGAGAAGCGAACUCGCGAGAGCAAGCGGACCUCAUAAAGUGCGUCGUAGUCCGGAUUGGAGUCUGCAACUCGACUCCAUGAAGUCGGAAUCGCUAGUAAUCGUAGAUCAGAAUGCUACGGUGAAUACGUUCCCGGGCCUUGUACACACCGCCCGUCACACCAUGGGAGUGGGUUGCAAAAGAAGUAGGUAGCUUAACCUUCGGGAGGGCG
rnacentral:rRNA from 1 species